GCGCAUGCGCAGUGGCAGUAUCGUAGCCAAUGAGGUUUAUUGGAGGCACGAUUAUUGCUAAUUGAAAGAAAGCAAACUGAGAAAGUCAUGGAUAACAAACAUGGAUAAGAAGUCUGUAGUCUGUGCUUCAGUUCCUGCCGCCAGGUUUCUCCUUGAACUCCUG
rnacentral:snRNA from 7 species